rnacentral:rRNA from 1 species
UGGGGAAUCUUGGACAAUGGGCGCAAGCCUGAUCCAGCCAUGCCGCGUGGAUGAUGAAGGCCUUAGGGUUGUAAAAUCCUUUCGUUGGGGACGAUAAUGACGGUACCCAAAGAAGAAGCUCCGGCUAACUUCGUGCCAGCAGCCGCGGUAAUACGAAGGGGGCUAGCGUUGUUCGGAUUUACUGGGCGUAAAGCGCGUGUAGGCGGGUCGUUAAGUUGGGGGUGAAAUCCCGAGGCUCAACCUCGGAACUGCCUUCAAAACUGGCGACCUGGACUCAAGCAGAGGCAAGUGGAAUUGCGAGUGUAGAGGUGAAAUUCGUAGAUAUUAGGAAGAACACCAGUGGCGAAGGCGGCCAACUGGCUCGAUACUGACGCUGAGGUGCGAAAGCGUGGGGAGCAAACAGGAUUAGAUACCCCCGUAGUCCCUGAGCGGGCUGGCAAGGCGCAU